rnacentral:other from 18 species
GUUGCGAUCCCUCCAGGCGUGAUAAGCAAC